CAUUUCAACAAUGUUAGAGCCGGCUAGUUCGUCACUACUUUGCAAAUUAUACCUAGCAAUAACAUACAGAAAUCUUCACACAUUUUCGUCGUUCACUCUGCCGCUAAUAUACACUGCCGACUUGAUUCGGUCUGCCUGCCUGUAUGUACACAUAUUACUCACCAAUGCUUAACUCCCAAUUCGUUGAGUAGUGAGCAAGGCAGUCGUUUACUGGUGUAUUGUUGAAAUUUGACUUCGUACUUUAUGCACAUAUUGUGGAGCUCGCAGCCCCAAGUAUUGGAGUCAUUCGGUUUGGUCGUUUCAGUUUCAGUUGGAGCGUGUUAACGAACGGUUCGUUUCGUUUGACGGAAUCGCGUGUAGUGUCCGUAUUGUCGUUGAAUCGCAUUCGCAAGCGUCGCACGCUAACCUCGUGUACGGUUCGUUCUCGUUUUUGUAAUCGAAUAAAAAGGCGUACGAAAUUAUUGAAAAAUAUCUGUAUAUUGUGCAAAUAUUAGCACGUAUAAGAAGUAAAUUAACAAAAGUGUAAAUAAUUGGAAGAAAAUUUUGUGAUAAAGUGUGUUAAAGUGCAAUACUAAGUGCGCGUUUUUUCGCAAGUUCUCCGCUGCCAAUAACGAGCAGUAUACCCUUGAUCGGUGCAGUCGGCGUGACAGCAGCCAGCAGCCAGAUUUGGUGACUUCGUGCGUCUUUUUAACGCUACACACGCCAUCGUUGUACAUUUCGUGACGGUCCAGCGGCAACGCCAGUUCUGCUGUAAGCCAGUCAGUGAGUCAGUCAGCCAGCCAUCUCGCUCGUAAACCGAGUAUAGGAGUUGGCAAAAAACUUAUUUCGAUUUCGUAUCCGUUUAUAUUGUUGUCGGCGGCAUCGUCAUUACGACACAUUUGGACGCUGCUUCUUUUUCGUUUACGGCCGAAAUUGUUUCGUGCGUGUCGGUGCACUUGUGUAAUGUCAACGCCAACACCUGCCUGAAAGAACAAAAGCAACAAAAAAAAACUCGAGAAAGGCUGCUGUUGUCGGAAAGCGAACACACCGCUGUAUAAAAAGGCAAAAAACAAAAAAUAUUAAGUAAUCGAGACUCGAGGCAACGAAAUCGAACACUUGCUUAAAAACAGACAGAAAUAAAAAAGUGUCCCAAAACAAAAAAAAAAA